UAAACUUAAAUGUUUAGGUUCAAUGCUAAUGUUGUAGUAGUUUGAAUAUAUAUAAAGUUUUAAAGACCAUAAACGUGCUAUUAAGUCGUGUUAGUUAAUUCAGAGAUUUAUGAUGCCUUUAUUAGUGGCUAUAGGUGUCUACGUUUGAAUAUCCCAAUAGAGUGCCAGCAGGCGUGGUUAGACUGAAUAUUCAUUUUAGCUUAGUUCUCUUUUUUAAUUUUUAUUCGGGGUUUAACUGGUAAAAUGGGUAGUGCUUCGCUAUUUAUUAGAAAUUUUUAGCCAAUAGUAAGACAAGGAUUAGAUACCCUUUUAUGUUUGGUGAAAUACUUAAGAUAAUUUAUUUUAAAAUUCAAAGAAUUUGGCGGUAAGAGAAGAACUCAGAGAAACCUGAAAGUUUAUUGGAUGGUCCACCAUUUUUACGUCUUAAUAUAUUGGUUACCUGUAUGUCUGUUUAGAUUAUCGUUAGAUCUUUAGUCUUUUUUCUUUAUAUUUUAAUUCAGGUCGAUAUAGGGAUGUUAUUAAGUCUUUUUGGGUUGCAUUAGAGAUCUGUAGUGGUUAAAUUAGAUUUUAUCCUAAUUUGGAUUUGAAAGUAAAUAGUUAUUUAGUCUAUUGAAUUCUUUUUCUCUUAAGUACAAAUCGCCCGUCACCUCUGUUAUAAAAUAAACUGAGUAAGUCGAAACAAAGUAGGUUGGCUGGAAGGGUAACCUGAAUGAGU
rnacentral:ncRNA from 1 species